CGAGCUGGGUUAUUUUUUAGCUCAGCAUUACUAAUAGUAAUAAUUUAAAUCGGGUGAAUUGCAAGGAAAACGCACUAGAUGUGCGUUAAUUUGCAGCGAAGGUUACUCAAAUAUUUGAGUAAAUAACGUUCAACGACUAAAGGUUUAACCUUAAUUAGUGCCCGAUACAA
rnacentral:ribozyme from 1 species